rnacentral:rRNA from 1 species
CGCCUCCUGCCUACAUAUAGGAGGUCCAGCCUGCCCAGUGACCUAGUUCAACGGCCGCGGUAUCCUAACCGUGCGAAGGUAGCGUAAUCACCUGUUUUUUAAUUAAAGACCUGUAUCAAAGGCAUCACGAGAAUCGCACUGUCUCCUUUCUCCAAUCAGUGAACCUAAUCUCCCCGUGAAAAAGCCGGGAUAAUUAUACAAGACGAGAAGACCCUUUGGAGCUUUAGAUAAAGUAAUAUAUUGCUUCCACUAUUUCCCACCUACAUAAAAUAGCAUCUAUCUUACAAUUCUUCGGUUGGGGCAACCGCGGAGCAUAAAACAACCUCCAAGCUGAAUGGAACUUUCCUUAACAAAAAGCCACAUCUUUAUGUAUCAACAAAUUGACAUUAUGACCCAAUAUUUUGAUUAUCGAACCAAGUUACCCUAGGGAUAACAGCGCAAUCUACUUCAAGAGCCCAUAUCGACAAGUAGGCUUACGACCUCGAUGUUGGAUCAAGGUAUCCCAGUGGUGCAGCCGCUACUAAAGGUUCGUUUGUUCAACGAUUAAAACCUC